rnacentral:rRNA from 2 species
ACUCUGGUAUUGAUUGGUGCUUGCAUCAUGAUUUACAUUUGAGUGAGUGGCGAACUGGUGAGUAACACGUGGGAAACCUGCCCAGAAGCGGGGGAUAACACCUGGAAACAGAUGCUAAUACCGCAUAACAACUUGGACCGCAUGGUCCGAGCUUGAAAGAUGGCUUCGGCUAUCACUUUUGGAUGGUCCCGCGGCGUAUUAGCUAGAUGGUGAGGUAACGGCUCACCAUGGCAAUGAUACGUAGCCGACCUGAGAGGGUAAUCGGCCACAUUGGGACUGAGACACGGCCCAAACUCCUACGGGAGGCAGCAGUAGGGAAUCUUCCACAAUGGACGAAAGUCUGAUGGAGCAACGCCGCGUGAGUGAAGAAGGGUUUCGGCUCGUAAAACUCUGUUGUUAAAGAAGAACAUAUCUGAGAGUAACUGUUCAGGUAUUGACGGUAUUUAACCAGAAAGCCACGGCUAACUACGUGCCAGCAGCCGCGGUAAUACGUAGGUGGCAAGCGUUGUCCGGAUUUAUUGGGCGUAAAGCGAGCGCAGGCGGUUUUUUAAGUCUGAUGUGAAAGCCUUCGGCUCAACCGAAGAAGUGCAUCGGAAACUGGGAAACUUGAGUGCAGAAGAGGACAGUGGAACUCCAUGUGUAGCGGUGAAAUGCGUAGAUAUAUGGAAGAACACCAGUGGCGAAGGCGGCUGUCUGGUCUGUAACUGACGCUGAGGCUCGAAAGUAUGGGUAGCAAACAGGAUUAGAUACCCUGGUAGUCCAUACCGUAAACGAUGAAUGCUAAGUGUUGGAGGGUUUCCGCCCUUCAGUGCUGCAGCUAACGCAUUAAGCAUUCCGCCUGGGGAGUACGGCCGCAAGGCUGAAACUCAAAGGAAUUGACGGGGGCCCGCACAAGCGGUGGAGCAUGUGGUUUAAUUCGAAGCUACGCGAAGAACCUUACCAGGUCUUGACAUACUAUGCAAAUCUAAGAGAUUAGACGUUCCCUUCGGGGACAUGGAUACAGGUGGUGCAUGGUUGUCGUCAGCUCGUGUCGUGAGAUGUUGGGUUAAGUCCCGCAACGAGCGCAACCCUUAUUAUCAGUUGCCAGCAUUAAGUUGGGCACUCUGGUGAGACUGCCGGUGACAAACCGGAGGAAGGUGGGGAUGACGUCAAAUCAUCAUGCCCCUUAUGACCUGGGCUACACACGUGCUACAAUGGAUGGUACAACGAGUUGCGAACUCGCGAGAGUAAGCUAAUCUCUUAAAGCCAUUCUCAGUUCGGAUUGUAGGCUGCAACUCGCCUACAUGAAGUCGGAAUCGCUAGUAAUCGCGGAUCAGCAUGCCGCGGUGAAUACGUUCCCGGGCCUUGUACACACCGCCCGUCACACCAUGAGAGUUUGUAACACCCAAAGUCGGUGGGGU